AUUGAACGCUGGCGGCAGGCCUAACACAUGCAAGUCGAACGUGCGGCGGACGGGCGAGUACUGUAUAGGGACUGCCCCAUAUAGGGGGUGAACUACUGGAAACGGUAGCUAAUACCGCAUACUAUCGGAUAACCCAUAUGGGAGUAGCUAGUAGGUGAGGUAAUGGCUCCCCUCGGCUACGAUCCCUAGAUGGUUGGAUAGGAUGAUCAUCCACACUGGGACUGAGACACGGCCCAGACUCCUACGGAGGCAGCAGUGGGGAAGAUUGCACAAUGGGCGCAAGCCUGAUGCAGCCAUGCCGCGUGUAUGAAGAAGGCCCUAGGGUUGUAAAGAACUUUCAGUCGGGAGGCGUUACCGACAGAAGAAGCACCGGCUAACUCCGUACCAGCAGCCGCGGUAAUAC
rnacentral:rRNA from 1 species